UACGUAGGGACCGAGCGUUGUCCGGAAUCAUUGGGCGUAAAGAGCGCGUAGGCGGCUAUUUAAGUCCUGCGUGAAAUCCUGCGGCUCAACCGCAGACGGUCGUGGGAAACUGGAUGGCUAGAGUGCGGGAGAGGAGAGUGGAAUUCCCGGUGUAGCGGUGAAAUGCGCAGAUAUCGGGAAGAACACCCGUGGCGAAGGCGGCUCUCUGGAACGCAACUGACGCUGAGACGCGAAAGCGUGGGGAGCAAACAGG
rnacentral:rRNA from 1 species